UAAUUAUCAGAAAACUUAAACUCAAUGUUAAUGAAAAAAAUGUCCAUUAGUUAAUUGAAUAAAAAUAAUAAUUUACUGGUUAUUAUAAAAUUAAAUACCAUAUGAGGUAUCACAAGUUGACUAGAGCGAUUAUUGCUAACAUGUAGCAAUUAAAUAUUACAGCAAAGAAACAAGUAAUUGAGCUAAUUAGUAGCUGUACAAUAAAUGAAAAACUAUUUUAGUUUUUGUAAACUUGAAAUUUGACUUAACGUUUUUACAACAAAAAAUAAACGUCAAUACCAACAUAUUAAUAAAUAUAAUGAAUUGAAUGGAUAUGUGCAUGUGUGGUGUGUGACAGCUGAUCGACAAAUAGUACAGAUAAACACACUACUAGUGUAGUGGGUAUCAUUGAGCGUUGGCUGUAUGAACCGGUCCAAAUAAAUUGGAUUUUAUUGAAGAAGGGGUUCACUUAUGGUAUUACCCGAUCAGCAAGAAUGCGAAUUGAUCAACUUCAGUUUUCAAAUGUACGUGUUGGCACCCCCAAAUUGUGCCGUUGGUAUAAGCUAUCACUUGCCAUAUUGUAAUGAUAUACAUAGUACAUCAUUAAUGUCAUAAUAAAUUAUUUAAAAUAUAAACAAUACAUCAUUAAUGUCAUAAUGAAUUAUUUAAGACUUCAAUCAAUCAAUCACACAAAAUGAAAUUAUAUCAAUAAAAAUAAUAUAUAUAUAUAUAUGUACCUUUUAAAUGUUUAAAUAAGUUAAUGAAAUUUUGUAGAAAAAGCAUAUAUUAAUUGUAAAAAACAAACAAGAAACAAUAAUCAAUAUGUAAUGGUAUACACAUAAGAUGAAGGGUAAUAAACUAUGUCUGUGAUGUUUUAUGUUGGUAUCACUACUAAUUGAAUGAUACGUUGUAUUACUUGUAAUUGUUGAUAAGUAAAAAAUAUGUCAUGUUCGAGUGUUCUAACGUGUGUAUCAUGCCUUAAUAAAAAAAUGUUAAUAAUUAAAUAAUGUGUUUAUUAAUAAUAAAUAAUAA